CAGUCGCCGCGGUAAAACGAAGGGGGCUAGCGUUACUCGGAAUUACUGGGCGUAAAGGGCGCGUAGGCGGCGCACCAAGUUAGGCGUGAAAGUCCUGGGCUCAACCUGGGAACUGCGCUUAAGACUGGUGUGCUUGAGGAUGGAAGAGGGUUGUGGAAUUCCCAGUGUAGAGGUGAAAUGCGUAGAUAUCGGAAGGAACACCAGUGGCGAAGGCGGCUACCUGGACUGAGACUGACACUGAGGCGCGAGAGCGUGGGAAGCAAACAGGAUUAGAUACCCCCGUAGUCCCUGUCUCUUAUAC
rnacentral:rRNA from 1 species